AGUGAACGCUGGCGGCAGGCCUAACACACGCAAGUCGAGCGGCAGCGGGUCCCCNCGAGGGAUGCCGGCGAGCGGCGGACGGGUGAGGAACACAUCGGAAUCUGCCUGGUUGUGGGGGAUAACGUAGGGAAACUUACGCUAAUACCGCAUGCGACCCUGAGUCGACGGACUGGGGGUGAAAGUGAGGGACCUUCGGCCUCACGCGACCAGAUGAGCCGAUGUCGGAUUAGCAGUUGGCGGGGUAACGGCCCGCCAAGGCGACGAUCCGUAGCUGGUCUGAGAGGAUGAUCAGCCACACUGGGACUGAGACACGGCCCAGACUCCUACGGGAGGCAGCAGUGGGGAAUUUUGGACAAUGGGGCAACCCUGAUCCAGCCAUGCCGCGUGAGU
rnacentral:rRNA from 1 species